AACCUUUCAGUAACUGAUCUCUGGUAUAGCUUCCGGUGGCUCUAGCUCCUCCAAAACACUGUACCAGUACCGUUUACUGCAGUAGCGUGGAGCUUUUCAAGUUCGGAGACCAAAAAAAAAGAUGAACUACACGAGUGGCAAACCAACAAUUUCAGAUUCACCAGUUUCGGCUUCCUUUUGGUUGGGUUAGAGCCCGAACCCGAACCAUUAUAUGGGCCGGGUAUAUGUAUUUCCGUCGGAGUCUGUCGUGUUGAAUCGAUUGCUUUAUAUAUACAUCAAAAUAAACGCA
rnacentral:lncRNA from 7 species